GACGAACGCUGGCGGCGUGCCUAAUACAUGCAAGUCGAGCGGACCGGAUUGGGGCUUGCCUUGAUUCGGUCAGCGGCGGACGGGUGAGUAACACGUGGGCAACCUGCCCGCAAGACCGGGAUAACUCCGGGAAACCGGAGCUAAUACCGGAUAACACCGAAGACCGCAUGGUCUUCGGUUGAAAGGCGGCCUUUGGGCUGUCACUUGCGGAUGGGCCCGCGGCGCAUUAGCUAGUUGGUGAGGUAACGGCUCACCAAGGCGACGAUGCGUAGCCGGCCGGGGAGGGUGACCGGCCACACUGGGACUGAGACACGGCCCAGACUCCUACGGGAGGCAGCAGUAGGGAAUCUUCCGCAAUGGGCGAAAGCCUGACGGAGCGACGCCGCGUGAGCGAAGAAGGCCUUCGGGUCGUAAAGCUCUGUUGUGAGGGACGAAGGAGCGCCGUUCGAAGAGGGCGGCGCGGUGACGGUACCUCACGAGAAAGCCCCGGCUAACUACGUGCCAGCCGCCGCCGUAA
rnacentral:rRNA from 1 species